UACUGUAUGUAGUAUGUACUAAUAAUGUACAAAUCCCAAAAUAGCCAAUGAAAUAAGGAAUAAUCCGACAACAUUAUUCAUAUUCAACAUUAAUUAUUGUUAGUUAUUCUCACACGAAUAACACUGUUUGUUGUGUGCAGAGGUGUUUGUGUGUAAAGUAGUGCGGCACUGAAACGGGGGGAAGGUGACAU